rnacentral:rRNA from 1 species
CCCUAUCGAGCUUUACUGGAUACCGAUAGCGUUAAUUUAGAAUGAUCGAUACCUAAGUAUCCUAAUUCUAAGUUAAUAAUUUUUGUUGGUAGGACAGUUUAGUUGGGGCGACUACCUUUGAAUAAGAAACGAAGGCGAGCUUAUGGUAUUAUUAAAAUCUCAUUAGCCUCACAGUGAGGGGGACACCCCUAGCUGGCACAAGCCCGUAACAUAGUAAGGGUAAGGGAACUUAGCCCGUUCUAUGGGGAUGUGGGCGAUAGUGACCCGAUAUGAUUAUCCAAAAUAAAUAUCGAAAGCGGAUAAAAGCUACCGUAGGG